UCCUACGGGGGGCAGCAGUAGGGAAUUUUCGUCAAUGGGCGCAAGCCUGAACGAGCAAUGCCGCGUGAACGAGGAAGGUCUUCGGAUCGUAAAGUUCUGUUGAAGGGGAAAAAGAGCAGAGAGAGGAAAUGGUCUCCGAUUGAUAUUACCCUUCGAGGAAGUCACGGCUAACUACGUGCCAGCAGCCGCGGUAAUACGUAGGUGGCGAGCGUUAUCCGGAAUGAUUGGGCGUAAAGGGUGCGUAGGCGGCCUGCUAAGUCUGGAGUGAAAGGUACCGGCUCAACCGGUACAGGCUCUGGAAACUG
rnacentral:rRNA from 1 species